GACGAACGCUGGCGGCGUGCUUAACACAUGCAAGUCGAACGGAAAGGCCCUGCUUUAGUGUGGUGCUCGAGUGGCGAACGGGUGUGUCACACGUGAGUAACCUGCCCUUGACUGUGGUAUAACUGCAGGACACUUGGGCUAAUACGGUAUAGGAGCUCCUCCUGCUUGGUGUGGGUUGGAAAGUUUCGGCGGUUGGGGAUGGACUCGCGCCUUAUCAGCUUGUUGGUGGGGUAGUGGCUUACCAAGGCUUUGACGGGUAGCCGGCGUGAGAGGGUGACCGGCGACAUUGGGAGUGAGAGACGCCGCCGAUACCUCCGGGGGAGACAAGUGGGGAAUAUAGUAGACUGGGCGGGCGCCUCAUACAGAGACACCGCGUGCGGAAGAAGGGCCUUCGCGGAUUAAACAGCUUUCGCCGGUGACGAAGAGUGAGUGACGGUAAUGGGUGAAGAAGCAACGGCUAACUACGUG
rnacentral:rRNA from 1 species